CUGUCUAUGCCUUGGGAGUGAGACAGUGGGGGAUAAGCUCCAUUGUCAAAAGGGAAACAGCCCAGACCACCAAUUAAGGUCCCUAAAUACAGGCUAAGUGUCAAAGGAAGUAUGGUCACCCAGACAACCAGGAGGUUGGCUUAGAAGCAGCCACCCUUUAAAGAGUGCGUAAUAGCUCACUGGUCAAGGGACUGUGCGCCGACAAUUUAUCGGGGCUAAAGCCUGUUACCGAAAUUGUGGCUUCCGCUUACGCGGAGGGGUAGGGGAGCGUUCUAUAUGCACUGAAGCUCAACUGUAAGGUUGGGUGGAGCGUAUAGAAGUGAGAAUGCCGGCAUGAGUAAUGUGAAGAUGCGUGAGAACCGCAUCCGCCGAAAGUCUGAGGUUUCCUACGCAACGUCGUUCGGCGUAGGGUUAGUCGGUCCUAAGUCGAGGCCGCAAGGCGUAGACGAUGGAUAGCUGGUUAAUAUUCCAGCGCCACCCAUGGAUCGUUUUAAGGCUAAGGAGGGACACGGGAAGCUAGGUAGAGCGUGCCUAUUGGACAUGGUACGUCGGAACCUGUAGGUGAUCUCGGGAUAGGAAAAUCCGUUCCGAGGCUUGAGCUGAGGGGUAAUGCGACUUUAGGGCUUAGCCCUAGGGAAGUCUAUUGAUGCUACACCGGCAAGAAAAACUUCGUAGCUAGAGUCAUGGGUGUCCGUACCGCAAACCGACACUGGUGGACUGGUAUAAAUGUACUAAGGCGGACGAGAGAACCAUCCUUAAGGAACUCGGCAAAUUGACUCCGUAACUUUGGGAGAAGGAGUGCCCUGGGACGUGUACCCCCUUGCGGGAGAAGCGUUUUGGGGUCGCAGAUAAGAGGCUCUGGUGACUGUUUAACAAAAACACAGGUCCCUGCUUAAGUCGUAAGACGAUGUAUAGGGGCUGACGCCUGCCCAGUGCCGGAAGGUCAAGAGGCGCGGUGAGAGCUGCAAAUCGAAGCCCCGGUGAACGGCGGCCGUAACUAUAACGGUCCUAAGGUACCGAAAUCCCUUGUCAGGUAAGUUCUGACCCGCAGGAAAGGCGUAACAACUGGAGCGCUGUCUCAAGGAUGGUCUCGAUGAAAUUGAAGUACGAGUGAAGAUGCUCGUUACCCGCAGCAGGACAAAAAGACCCCGUGGAGCUUUACUGCAACCUGACAUUGAUCCGAGGAUACAGUUGUGUAGCAUAGGUGGGAGGCUAUGAAACUCAGACGCCAGUUUGAGCGGAGCCAUCGUUGAAAUACCACUCUUCUCUGUUUUUGGAUCUAACCCCUGAACAAGCAGGGGAACCGUGUCUGGCGGGCAGUUUGACUGGGGCGGUCGCCUCCCAAAAAGUAACGGAGGCGUGCAAAGGUUCCCUCAGGGUGGAUGGAAAUCACCCGCAGAGCGCAUUGGUAGAAGGGAGCUUGACUGCGAGGCCUACAAGCCAAGCAGGGACGAAAGUCGGCCAAAGUGAUCCUACGGUCCCGUGUGGAAGGGCCGUGGCUUAUCGGAUAAAAGCUACCCCGGGGAUAA
rnacentral:rRNA from 1 species